UCCUCGGCAGAGGCUGUUUGGCUUCAUGGUAUUUUCAAACCAUUUCAAAUCGAUUGCGAUCGUUAACAGACGAUUGAGAGAAGCACGUUAAGAAAGACACGCUUCAGUUUCUGCUGGAUAAAGUGAAGGAGGACUUGUCUCAGCUCAAUGAAGACAUGGAUGUGGAACCAGAGGAGCGACCGAUGGACGUCCAUCGUAUAUUUUAUUCUCCGUUGGGGGCAACAUGGCGCAGCAGCAGUACGGAAUAAGAGUCCACAACCUAUAAACUCCAUUAGGAGACAACGAUUUGGAUGAAACUGGGACUCAAAUUCUGCAACAACAUUCCAAAACUGGAUACCAAAUCAUGAGAAACACCUUCAGGUUAUCCAGGAUGGACCUGCUGCAACUACGUACAGAGGGAAACCAGUCCCACUGAGCACUGAGGGAAACCAGUCCAUCCCGCAACUGUGGAGUCUCCAUGAACACGAGGCACAGCAGGACCCAGUACAGGUCCACAUGGAGGUUGGAGUUGAUUGGACUGGACCGUGUGGUCAUCGGCAGCCUGGUGUUCUGGUCCCUGAAGUUCAGCUGCAACGCUGAAGGCCCGCUGUCCAAUGUGUUGGAUGUCUUUGUACAAACUGUAUGCCUAAUAUCAGACAUGCUACAGUAAAUUCUUCUGU